rnacentral:rRNA from 1 species
UGCAGAGGGUGCGAGCGUUAAUCGGAAUUACUGGGCGUAAAGCGCACGUAGGCGGCUUGGUAUGUCGGGUGUGAAAUCCCCGGGCUCAACCUGGGAACUGCAUCCGAAACUGCCUUGCUAGAGUAUGGGAGAGGGAAGUGGAAUUUCCGGUGUAGCGGUGAAAUGCGUAGAUAUCGGAAGGAACAUCAGUGGCGAAGGCGACUUCCUGGACCAAUACUGACGCUCAGGUGCGAAAGCGUGGGGAGCAAACAGG